AUAUAUCCUUCAGUGGGGAUUAUACCACUGUAAGCCUUAUACACUAGAGCAAGUUGUCUGCUCUGACAAAUGUGAGUACAACAACUUUUAUUUAUUUUUUCUACAUUUGGAAUCAGAAUUGCUACACUAUUGGAGUUUCUCUUUUCUGUUUCCAUUUUAUCUAUGCCACUACACCAAUGAAGUAUUGAAAAGUUGAACCUUCUAUCCUGAGACGGGGAUUGUACCGUCCGUGCAAGUUAAGGUAGAGCUCCUGAUUAGCUCUACCAAAUGUGAGUUUAAAAUACCUCUGUUUUACACACCAUUUCCGUUUCCCACUUGUUAUAGCAUAUUGCACUAUUAUAUUUCCCUUUUUGUGUUUUUUUUGAGGAUAUAUUACUCAUACCAACUAAGGGACACCAAGUGUAUGUAUGUAAAAUUUAUUUAGAGCGCUGUUUCCUUCCUUUCUUUCAUAUUGUUUCCUUACAAGGCUGGGAAUCUUUGCAUUGGUUAUUGCUGCUUGUCUAUUCUCUCUGUUUCGAAGUGAGCACCCGACACACCUUCCUUUUUUUUUCAUGUACCAGACCCCGGCCAGUCCUAGUUUACACUGUCUCUCUGUGCCCUUGAUUUCGGAUCGUUCCUGACUCUGUCUCCUCUCAUAUACGUCGAGUCCGGCCAUUCUAAGGUCCGGUAGACGUAUCUCUCCUCUGUGUUGUCUUCUGUUUAGCUGAAUCCUGCGUGUUGGGGUAUAUUCUCGUUACAAUGGAUACUUCGGACGGUGCGGGGCUAUCAAAUAGAAUUCGAGACGAGGCCACUCCAACAGGCCCCACCACGCCUGAUUCAGUUUUCACGGGCGGACGCUUCUUUGAUAGACACGAAACUUCAGGACUUACACUCCAAGGGUGCCAUCCAACCAGCUCAGGACUCAACAGGGUCCUGGUCAGGAAGAAAACCUGGGAAUUCCGACCCGUCAUCAACCUCAAGGAGCUCAAUUCCUACGUGGUGUACCGCCACUUCAAAAUGGAGGGUAUCCAUCUUCUCCGGGACCUACUGCGAGACAACGACUGGUUCACGCGUCUAGACCUAAAGGACGCAUACCUCACCAUCCCUGUGCACGAAAGGAGCCGCUCAUAUCUCCGUUUCUACUGGCACGGGACACCUUGGCAAUUCACCUGUCUCCCACUCGGCCUCAGUCCGGCCCCAUGGUGUUUCACCAAAAUGAUGAAGCCGGUAAUGGCGAGACUGAGGGACCAAGGCAUAAGAUGCAUUGUCUACCUCGUUGACAUCUUGAUAUUCGGCGAGGAUGCAAGGACCCUAAAGAGGCACACAGACUACGCCGUACACCUACUCGACUCACUGGACUUCGUUAUCAACGGCCCCAAGUCAUCACUGACUCCCGCUCAGUCGAUCAAAUUCCUUGGGUUCGAGAUAGACUCAACAUCGUGCACUCUGCGCCUUCCGGCCGCAAAAAUUGCCACCAUCCGCAGAGAAAUUCGGAAGGUACUUCGACUGACAUCCAUACCUUUACGACUGCUAGCACAAAUCGUGGGCCUUCUCUCGUCAUCCAUCCAGGCCAUCUUUCCUUGACCCCUGCAUUACAGAGCCAUGCAACACCUCAAGACAAAGUUCCUUCGCAAAGACCCAACAUACGACCAGCCGGUCCCCAUGUCGGACGCGGUUCGGGAGGAACUGCACUGGUGGCUGAACUGCAUGCAGGCCUGGAACGGUCGGGCGAUAUACGGAAACCAACCAGACUUCAUAUUGGAGUCAUACGCCAGACACUCAGGCUGGGGAGCAACAGACGACACCUCCUCCACGGGGGGUGUGGACUCCCCAAGAACUUUCGAUGCACAUCAACUGUCUGGAGCUCCUGGCGGGACUGCUGCAUCCUGCUCCGGAUGGACAAUGUCUUGGCGGUAAGAUACAUCAACCGACUCGGAGGCACCCACUCCCAAGCACUAGUAGAACUCUCGAAGGAAAUCUUCGACUAUUGCCUGCCUCGCAACAUCACGCUGUUAGCGGAACACCUACCAGGAGAAACCAACACGGAUUGGUACUCACGCCACUGGAGGGACGCCAGCGACUGGCAACUAGACUCUCAUGUUUUCACGAUUCUGGAUGCACAAAGGGGCCCCUUCUUCCUGGACUUAUUCGCUUCCCGCAACAACCGUCAGACGAAGGACUUCUUCAGUUGGCUCCCAGAGAGUCUAGCAACAGACGCGUUUCUGCAACAAUGGCCACAACACGGGGCUUACGCUUUCCCUCCAUUCUCAAUGAUUACGAGGGUUCUCCACUGAAUCUGCAUGCAGAGGGUGAUACUGACCCCCAUCACGCCUCUAUGGCAAAGCCAACCAUGGUUCACGGAUCUUCUGGAGCUGUCGAACAGGGAUCCCCUCCUCCUACCAGAUACUCCGUCCAUUCUCAGGAACCCGAUGGGACUACCCCAUCCGCUGGUCAGGGAGGGCCGGCUUCCCCUGGUGGCCUGGACUUUUUCAGGGGUUCCUGGCGAACCGAGGAUUUAUCGCAGGAAACUAGGGAGCUCCUAUGGGACUCAUGGGCGCCAGGAACAAGGAGGUGCUACUUAUCAGCAUGGCACUGCUGGACAACUUGGUGUCUGGGACCGGAUCUCAAUCCCUUUACGGCACCUAUUCCCUCCAUCAUGAAUUUCCUCACCUCUCUGUUCACAACCGGGAAGUCAUACCGGUCAAUCAACGUGAUACGUUCAGCCAUGUUAGCGGCUCAUACGCCGACUCAAGGGACACCAGUGGGCCAGAACCCACUCAUCUGUAGACUCCUCCGUGACAUGCGCCUUCGGCGCCCCCCGGAACCCAAAUACUCGAGACUUUGGGACGUUGGCAUAGUCUUACAGUUUUUACUGGCCCCCUAACGAGAACUCCGCCAGCUUACGGCAAAGUUCACCUUCCUACUCUGCCUAGUCUCCUUUCGUCGGGUGUCCGAUGUACGCGCUUUUGAUGCCGACGCAUUUACCUUUUGCCCAGCGGGAGUAACCUUCCAGGUCUCUAGGCGCACGAAAUCUGACUCUUCCUCUGUUUUUUACCCCUUUUUUCCCUCAGACCCACAGCUCUGUUUGGUCUCUACUCUUCGUCGAUACGUGGAAGCCACCGCGACGUUGCGGCCUACUUCCAAUCGUCAACUUCUCAUCUCUUACGUCCGCCCCUACGCUCCAGUCUCGGUUACUACGUUGGCCAGAUGGGUUAGAUGGCUAUUAGCCCUUGCCGGGAUAGACCAGGCUUUUGGAGCACACUCAGUUCGGGGGGCCGCGGCCUCUUCCGCCUAUGCGGCAGGGGCCUCCCUUCCAGAUAUUUUACGAGCGGCGGACUGGACUAGAGAAUCCACCUUUAGGACGUUCUACUUCCGUUCUCCAUCUAAUCCAGCUUUUGCUCUACUUUCUCAGCGUUGAAAUUGCAAAAUACGAAGCCUCCUGUCAUGUGAUAAAAUUGAAGAUUAUGCUAGCUUCAGUGUACAGAUAAUCUUAAUUUUAAUAAUGACAGGAGGCGAGUAUUUUCCCUCCCUGCUCUCUUUCGCUCUUUCCCCCCCCCCUGUCUUCAUGUAUAUUUCUAUCUCUUUAUUCACAUGUUAUUAUUGUGCUAAAUGCCUAAGUUGUUUUUUCUUACAAUUAAAACAGAUAUACCAUAUGGGUGGGAUGGCUUAGUUAGCAUCAAUAGAUGGGAGGAAUGUAUUCGCUGUAUUGCAAUAUGAUGGUUUACUUAAUCAUAAGGGAUAGACAGCUCAUUGUUUUACACAACCAUAUCCAGAAUCUAAUACCCUUUACAUUCUCGUUUCAGUUUAACCAGAUGAAUCAGGACACUAAAGACUUCCUUCAAGAUGUCAUCAUCGUCUUGUCAUGGAAGAUCGUCACUUGACAUCAAGAACUCUUCCCUGUCAAGAAUUCUUCAUAUGUUUAUGUUCUAUUUUCAUGUUAUACGUUAUCUUUAUUGUUAUUCUGCAUUGUGAUCUUGUGAUGUCGCAUGCUUUAAAGAGGAAAUGAUGUCAUACGUUACACCUCUUAUACUCUAUACUGCAUUGUG